rnacentral:rRNA from 1 species
GAUGAACGCUGGCGGCGUGCCUAAUACAUGCAAGUCGAGCGAACGGACGAGAAGUUCGCUUCUCUGCUGUUAGCGGCGGACGGGUGAGUAACACGUGGAUAACCUACCUAUAAGACUGAGGUAACUUCGGAAAACCGGAGCUAACACCGGAUAAUAUUUUGAACCGCAUGGUUCAACAGUGAAAGACGGUCUUGCUGUCACUUAUAGAUGGAUCCGCGCUGCAUUAGCUAGUUGGUAAGGUAACGGCUUACCAAGGCAACGAUGCAUAGCCGACCUGAGAGGAUGAUCGGCCACACUGGAACUGAGACACGGUCCAGACUCCUACGGGAGGCAGCAGUAGGGAAUCUUCCGCAAUGGGCGAAAGCCUGACGGAGCAACGCCGCGUGAGUGAUGAAGGUCUUCGGAUCGUAAAACUCUGUUAUUAGGGAAGAACAUAUGUGUAAGUAACUGUGCACAUCUUGACGGUACCUAAUCAGAAAGCCACGGCUAACUACGUG